rnacentral:rRNA from 1 species
UACGUAGGUGGCAAGCGUUGUCCGGAUUUACUGGGCGUAAAGAGCGCGCAGGCGGUCGUUCAAGUCGCGUGUGAAAGCCCCCGGCUCAACUGGGGAGGGUCACGCGAUACUGAUCGACUCGAAGGCAGGAGAGGGUAGUGGAAUUCCCGGUGUAGUGGUGAAAUGCGUGGAUAUCGGGAGGAACACCAGUGGCGAAGGCGACUACCUGGCCUGUUCUUGACGCUGAGGCGCGAAAGCUAGGGGAGCAAACGGG